rnacentral:tRNA from 1 species
GGGUAGGUACCGAAGCGGUCAAACGGGGCAGACUGUAAAUCUGCUGGCUCAGCCUUCGGGGGUUCGAAUCCCUCCCUGCCCACCA